AUCCUUAUAGGAAAGCGUUUACCUAAAAGUCAUGGUUACGUAAAUAAGCUAUAGCGAGUAGCUUAAUUUCUUUCAAAUCCCUCCUAGUCAGGGGGAUUUUUU
rfam:Lactococcus lactis subsp. lactis Il1403, complete genome.